GUUUUUAUUUUUUUAAUAAAUUUAGUACUGGGUUGGCACAGAGUAGUACUAUGUAAAAUUCUAUUUCAUAGUACGACCCGUGUCGGCCCAGUAAGAGACUUCAAUUUACCAGCAUGUCAU
rnacentral:precursor_RNA from 15 species